rnacentral:lncRNA from 1 species
GAUCAGAGAAGUCCAGGUGAUGACCUAGUCUCCUUGGCACAGUGGGACAUAUUAUGACAUGUAGUUGAGGGCUAGUGGUGACAAGUUCAUCCUUGAGAUGAUAUGUUUGUGAUGUGAUGCAUUCCAUGAGAGCAUGUAAUGAAUGAACUGUUUUAUUGUUCCUACUCACUGGGCUAUAGAGCUCAUCCCACUCCCUUAACCCCAGUUUUGCAGGUUCCGAGAUAGCUAUGGGAAGUC